CCGACAAUCAAUUUCCAAUUGAUCUUAAUUCCGGAAAAUCUUGUGGUUACCAAUGAAAACAAAAGUGAUGUUGAAUUCACCAAUCAAUCCAGAUUGAUCUCAUUUAAAUUGUGUGUUGAUCAAACAAAACCUCAUUUAAUUGUUUCUUAUAUUAUCUCAUAUUCCCUGUGAAAGAAUCAAUUACAAACAAUUAAAACCUAAAAUAAACAAUUAAUAAAAUGAUAAAACAACACUCUAAUCAAAUUGGUAUCAUAUUCAAUUCUCAACCAUAAUAACAUUAAAGAUAAUCACUUAAUUAACACAAAAGAAAAGUCAAAUCAACAAUCGAAAUAAAAACUUCGAAAACGAAAACCAAUCAUGUUUCGUACUAACGCUACCAGAUCAAAGUCGAAAAGAGUUACAUUCGGCUCUGAACUUCUCGUUCAUUAAUUCCAACAAACAGAAACUAUUAUCACGAGAAAAAGUCGCAAGUAUAAACAAGGAGUAAAUGGGAAUACAUGUAGAUGGAAAUUGGAAAUGACAUUAGACUUUGACUUAAUCUAAUUAAGUUUAUUAGCCAACCGUUGAUUAAAUGGUUGUGAUAAUUACUCUGAAUAUGGUAAUUGUAAGACUUAGACAAGGAUGGUGACAAAUGAUUGAAUUAGAAUUUUUUCUGGUUGUAAUCAGUGUCGCAUAUUAAGAACAGCCUGGAGCAUCCCUAUGGAGAUUAAACAGUAAAUUAGUUGAAUACGCAAUUAACUGUUAAUUCGGGUUCGUUUUUGACGUAAUCAAUUUGUUCAUAAUUAUGGAUAAAUUUGAUGCGAAAAAGUGAAGCUAAAUUGUUUUUAAGAUGCAUAAGAACAACAGAAUUAUUAAUUAAAGUGAUUAGGGUAAAUCUUGUACAAGUAAAUACUGCGAAUCGUUGCUCUUUCUUGGCCUUUUCAGUGUUUAAAUAUUUUUGUAUGAGAUCAGUUUGUGUCCGAAUGAUUCCAAAGCGAAAUCGAAGAUAAAUGCUGAGUAACUAAUCGAUGAAGUAUAUUCCAUCUUUCACCUUCAGAUGAGAUUAGCCCUUGACCGAUAAAUUUCUCAGUAAAAACGAACAUCGAACCCUUCUUAAUUACUAUUGGUGGAUCAAGAAUCCUCUUUGACUUUAUUUCCUCUUUACUAAGAUUCUCAAAGAAGGAACCAAAUCAGGGGAGGUCGUAACUCUACCAACGAUAUUUCAAGUGAAUCAACUUGAGGAAUCGUUUAGGUUUAUGAUCAAAGCAAACAAAUCAAAGAAGUUCUGGAAAGUUUUGAGAUGAAAAUGAAGAUCCAAAUAAAGUUAAAAUUUAUUAUCGUUCAAUUGGUCAAACAUUUUUCGAUCUUGAAAAAAGUUACAUAAUAACUGGUGGACUUGGAGGAUUAGGACUCGAACUUGGCUACUGGAUGGUAUCGAGAUGAGCGAUUAAUCUACACAGAGAGAAAAUAAGAAUUAGAUUACUUCCUGUUACGUCAAUUCUUUUUUUGAAGAAGAAACGUAAUUUAAGACAUUUAAAUUUUCGCGCUUCUUUUUUUGGAGAUUUCGUUUUCCUUUUGUUUACAAUUUGGGUUACAUUUGAUUUCGCAAUUUAUUAUUGUGAAUCGUUUAUUUUCAUUAGUUUAUUAUCAAUUAUUUUCUCGAUUUGACUGACGAAUUGACUGGGUCUUCCAUUUACUUUUCUUCUCUCAUCUGGUUCAAGUCAUGAAUUCCAAUACUGAUAUGGUUGACAAAUAUGAUCGAUACAAUUUCGACUACGACAAGAAACUUUUCUGUAAUCACAGUGGUAAACAAAGAAGUAAACGAGAAGCCGAAGAACAUACAAAUAAACAUGAUCCAUGUGGACAUACCCGAAAAUUGGAGCAAAAGUUUCACAACACUGAGAUGAACAGAAGAAAAAGUGAAUCUAAAUAAACUUUUCAUCUUCAUCUUC